GCAGUUCCCUUGGAGAUGG
rnacentral:siRNA from 1 species